rnacentral:rRNA from 1 species
UACGUAGGGGGCAAGCGUUGUCCGGAAUUAUUGGGCGUAAAGAGCGUGUAGGCGGUCCGGUAAGUCCGCUGUGAAAGUCGGGGGCUCAACCCUCGAAUGCCGGUGGAUACUGUCGGGCUAGAGUACGGAAGAGGCGAGUGGAAUUCCUGGUGUAGCGGUGAAAUGCGCAGAUAUCAGGAGGAACACCUAUUGCGAAGGCAGCUCGCUGGGACGUAACUGACGCUGAGACGCGAAAGCGUGGGGAGCAAACAGG